rnacentral:pre_miRNA from 1 species
AUGAUAGUCACUUGGGGAUCUUGUUAAAGUGCAGAUUCUGAUUCAGUAAUUCUGAGUUACAGUUUGAGGGUCUGCAUUUCUAACAGGAUCUCAAGAGAUUGCUGG